GCCUUUAUAGCUCAGUGGUAGAGCGCGUCACUCGUAUCGAAUCCAAUUCAAGCAUUACGGCAUGACGAGGUCCACGGUUCAAUCCCGUGUGGAGGCA